AGUAACACGUGGAUAACCUACCUAUAAGACUGGGAUAGCUUCGGGAAACCGGAGCUAAUACCGGAUAAUAUUUUGAACCGCAUGGUUCAAAAGUGAAAGACGGUCUUGCUGUCACUUAUAGAUAGAUCCGCGCUGCAUUAGCUAGUUGGUAAGGUAACGGCUUACCAAGGCAACGAUGCAUAGCCGACCUGAGAGGGUGAUCGGCCACACUGGAACUGAGACACGGUCCAG
rnacentral:rRNA from 1 species